rnacentral:misc_RNA from 1 species
UUAUUUGGGUCGGGUUUACUUCUAGUAACUUGUUCAAUUUCUGUGAUCUCGAUAUUUAAGAAGUAAACUUUUACCAAAUAACCUAUUUUUUCCAAAUAGGAGCAAGAUUAACUAUAUAUUUAAAACCCAACUCUUAAAUGUAUUUAUAUGUAUUUUGAUAAAAUAAAGA